UAGGGAAUCUUCGGCAAUGGACGAAAGUCUGACCGAGCAACGCCGCGUGAGUGAAGAAGGCUUUCGGAUCGUAAAACUCUGUUGUUAGAGAAGAACAAGGACGUUAGUAACUGAACGUCCCCUGACGGUAUCUAACCAGAAAGCCACGGCUAACUACGUGCCAGCAGCCGCGGUAAUACGUAGGUGGCAAGCGUUGUCCGGAUUUAUUGGGCGUAAAGCGAGCGCAGGCGGUUUCUUAAGUCUGAUGUGAAAGCCCCCGGCUCAACCGGGGAGGGUCAUUGGAAACUGGGAUACUUGAGUGCAGAAAAGGAGAGUGGAAUUCCAUGUGUAGCGGUGAAAUGCGUAGAUAUAUGGAGGAACACCAGUGGCGAAGGAGGCUCGCUGGUCAGUAACUGACGCUGAGGCUAGAAAGCGUGGGGAGCAAACAGG
rnacentral:rRNA from 1 species